rnacentral:rRNA from 1 species
CAGAACGAACGCUGGUGGCGCGUUUUAAGCAUGCAAGUCGAGCGGUAACUACCUUCGGGGUAGCUAGAGCGGCGAACGGGUGAGUAACACGUAGAUAAUCUGCCUUGAGGUUGGGGAUAGCCUGUGGAAACACAGGGUAAUACCGAAUAAGCCCUAUGGGGGAAAGGUGCUAAGGCACCGCCUUAAGAUGAGUCUGCGGCUCAUUAGUUAGUUGGUGGGGUAAUGGCCUACCAAGGCGACGAUGAGUAGCCGGCCUGAGAGGGUGGACGGUCACACUGGGACUUGAGACACGGUCCAGACUCCUACGGGAGGCAGCAGCUAAGAAUCUUCCGCAAUGGGCGCAAGCCUGACGGAGCGACGCCGCGUGAACGAAGAAGGCCGUGAGGUUGUAAAGUUCUUUUCUUACUGAAGAAUAACCGUUGCAGGGAAUGGCAGCGGGAUGACGUUAGGUAAGGAAUAAGCCCCGGCUAAUUACGUGCCAGCAGCCGCGGUAACACGUAAGGGGCAAGCGUCGUUCGGAAUUAUUGGGCGUAAAGGGC